rnacentral:pre_miRNA from 1 species
UCUAGAACUCGAGAUAUGGGCUGAACACUGAAUAGUUUCUGGGCUGCAAGAUAGAUUUUGACUUCUCUUUUGUUGCUACAAUUUGAACUUGAAAACAACCGUUUUGAAUCUUGAACUCUGCAUAAAAGUUAUAGGCCUGUGUCUUAGCUUUCCAUU